CACACACGGGAUUGGGCUUUUGUCGGGAGAAAUCCGGCAAGAACCUCCGGUGGCGAGCAAUCGCCUCAGCCCGUGGAGGUUAAACCGGAAAAGGAAAAUA
rfam:Ochrobactrum sp. P6BS-III NODE_25_length_68749_cov_27.375, whole genome shotgun sequence.